AAUCAACGCUGGCGGCGUGCCUAACACAUGCAAGUCGAACGCGAAAGGGGCUUCGGCCCUGAGUAGAGUGGCGAACGGGUGAGUAACACGUGGGUGACCUACCUUCGAGUGGGGGAUAACGUCCCGAAGGGACGCUAAUACCGCAUAACAUCCUGCCUUUGAACAGGUGGAGAUCAAAGCUGGGGAUCGCAAGACCCGGCGCUUGAAGAGGGGCCCGCGUCCGAUUAGCUAGUUGGUGAGGUAAUGGCUCACCAAGGCUACGAUCGGUAGCCGGCCUGAGAGGGCGGACGGCCACACUGGGACUGAGACACGGCCCAGACUCCUACGGGAGGCAGCAGUGGGGAAUUGUUCGCAAUGGGCGCAAGCCUGACGACGCAACGCCGCGUGGAGGAUGAAGGUCUUCGGAUUGUAAACUCCUGUUGCCCGGGGAAGAACGACCCCUGACCUAAUACGUCGGGGUGUGACGGUACCGGGUGAGGAAGCCCCGGCUAACUCUGUG
rnacentral:rRNA from 1 species